UGGGGUGUAGCUCAGUGGUAGAGCGCUUGCUUGGCACGUGCAGGCCCUGGGUGCAGCCCAGCACCGCAC
rnacentral:tRNA from 1 species